UCCAGCUGCAGGGCUGGGGACCCUCAAACACUCUCUUUUAUUGUGUGACCUUCAGCAGCUCAGAGAUGAGGGAAGAGCUGUAGAUCUGUCAUUUCCAGCCUCCGGUCGUAGCUGUGGGAUGUCUCGGUGCCUCUUUUCCCCUGAAGAUGGACAUUUUAUUGUCUAUGCUAUGUGAAAUCAAUUCCUGUAAUGCUUUUUCCUUUAAGUCCUUGGCAAUGGUUUAGGUAUUUUUUUCCUCUUUCCAUCACAAGAAGAACCAACCCUGCCCCUGGCUGGCACCGGGCGCCUGCAGCUCUCCCUUGGCAGGUCUUUGGCGCCACUGCCAUUGCCUGGGCAGGUUGUGUGCUCUGCUGCUGCUUAUCCUUCCAAUGGAUUCCCGAGCCUCCUCUGGUUUGUUGUCCCUUGUGACAGUGCUUUAAGUGACCUAAAGCUUGGAACAGUGGUGAGAGUUGAAAGCACAUCCUCUGCAAGACCUACAGCCCAGCUUUUUGAGAGCAAACUGCUCCAGUCUUGAAUCCAAGCUGUGGCUUGUGAGCUCAGUGCAUCUGUUGGUCUUCACUGUGUUACUCCAGUGCCCUGUGUCCCCAGCGUUAACAGGCCGAAGGGGCUGCAAUUCAACUACUGUCUACCGAAAGACACCAUUUAUUUAACAAGAAGCUGGGCUGCUAAAGAAGCACGGGGGGAAAAAGAGCCCGAGAGAGACCUCGUGUGUUGGUAACAGGCGAUGACAACCCAAAACGGUCCUUCAGAAAUGUGACCUCUCAAAACCAGGGAGGAUGUUCCCUGCUUUACUCUGUGAACAGGAGUGUUUGAAGAGCAACAAACUGCUUUUCAGUGCUUUCCUCUUGCAAGGACAGGUUGAUUUCACUAUUUUUACCUGCUUCUACGCUCCUAGAAAGUCUGUUUCUCUGGGUGCUUAUUCUGUGCGUGUACCUGGAGAAAGCUGGUGUUUCCCUGGGAGCAGGGUUCAUCCGUGAUCAUGCUCUUGCUUCACCCUUCUCCAGGCUCUCUGGCAGUGCCGGUGCCCGCUCAGCGUGCUGAGGAUGUGGCACUACAAGCACUUGUGCAGCCGCACAGUGAACAGGUUUGGGAAUGGAUCCAGCUGAAAAGUAACUCCCUCUGAGGCAGGCUGCUCCAUGGGGCAGUCCCUUACUCACUGCACUGGCCCUGCAAGGAAGCAGUGCUCAAUGAAAGCGAUGUUUUGAGCUCCUGGAUGGAACAUGCUGCAAAAGGGCGACACAGUCUUUAGCAGAGAUCACAUUUACAGCCCUGGUCAUCUCUUUAGCCUCUCCUGCCUCAAGAGGUACGAUGACAUCUUGGGACAUAAGCAAGUUACUUUAGGCUUAGUUUCUGCCAGGAAUCAUCAGUGGCCAAGCAGUGCUGUGGAUUACGGCUGCCUGGUAGCCCUGCUUCACUCUGCUCUUCAGCUCGAAGGUGCACUCCCUUGGCAAAGCCACCAGAUGUCUCAGGGUCUGUUCUUAGAAGCCCCUCUCAGCGCAGUGUGUGCCUUGAAAAGCACAGGGAGAGGAAGAAGAGGCAAUUAUUGCUUCAGGCAGCUGUGUAGUUUAUCCCAUUAAAGCUUAAGGAGAUGAAAACUGGAAUAUGCUGCAAGGGAACGUGGAAAGUGCCACUAGCUCUGGGCAUUCUGCUGUAACUGGGUUUAAUCCACACAGUUUCAAAACAGCUUCCCAGCUUCUGCUGCUGAAAUAACCACGGUGGGGCUGGGGGUGAGCAGCACUUAAAUAGUGCAUACAGCUGUAUCGCAUGGGGACAGGACAUGGAGAGUAAGAGAAGCUUUGGGGAGGUUGCUGGGACCCCACUGUCAUCUCAGGUACAGAACAGCCACGGUACUGCAGGAUACGCUACAGCCCA